rnacentral:tRNA from 1 species
UCCGUUGUAGCUCAGUUGGUAGUAGCAUCUGACUGUUAAUCAGAGGGUCACAGGUUCGAGUCCUGUCAACGGAGCCA